UACGGAGGAUCCAAGCGUUAUCCGGAAUCAUUGGGUUUAAAGGGUCCGUAGGCGGUUUGGUAAGUCAGUAGUGAAAGCCCAUCGCUCAACGGUGGAACGGCCAUUGAUACUGCCAGACUUGAAUUAUUAGGAAGUAACUAGAAUAUGUAGUGUAGCGGUGAAAUGCUUAGAGAUUACAUGGAAUACCAAUUGCGAAGGCAGGUUACUACUAAUGGAUUGACGCUGAUGGACGAAAGCGUGGGUAGCGAACAGG
rnacentral:rRNA from 1 species